CAGUAGCCGCGGUAAUACGGAGGGGGCUAGCGUUGUUCGGGAUUACUGGGCGUAAAGCGCACGUAGGCGGCUUGGUAAGUUAGAGGUGAAAGCCUGGAGCUCAACUCCAGAAUUGCCCUUAAGACUGCCGAGCUAGCAGGUGAGAGAGGUAAGUGGAAUUCCGAGUGUAGAGGUGAAAUUCGUAGAUAUUCGGAAGAACACCAGUGGCGGAGGCGGCUUACUGGCUCAUACUGGACGCUGAGGUGCGAAAGCGUGGGGAGCAAACAGGAUUAGAUACCCCUGUAGUCCCUGUCUCUUAUAC
rnacentral:rRNA from 1 species